rnacentral:lncRNA from 1 species
GAAGUGACCAGUCAUUCUCUGGGUCUCCUGCAUGGCUCUUAUCCUAGGACUCUCCAUAAAUUUUUUUUUUUUUAAAUUCCUGCACACCACGUCUUCUUUUUCUUAAUUUAUUCCCUUGCCAUGUUUUGUAAGUGUCCUAGUUACUUAUUGCUGCAUAACAAAUCACCCUAAAACUCGAUGGCAUGAAGCAAUUUCUGAUUUCCACCAUUCAGUGGGCUAACUGUGUUGUUCUUCUGUGCCGUGUGCUGGUGACUGGGGUGCUGGCAUGUCUGUAGUCAUCAUGGGGCUUGAGUGUUCUGCACAGUGAUGGCGGCUCCCUCGCACAGUUGGGGGAUAGUGCUGGUUGUUGGCUGGGAGCAAAACUUGAUCAGUCAACCAGAAUAACUGUGCAUGGCCUCUCCAUGUGGCUUGGACUUUUCACAGCACAGAAAAGUCCUUGGUUUUGUGGUGGAGCAUCUCAAGAGUGAGCUUUUUAAAAUGCCCUGAGGAAAUCUGCAAGGUUUCUUAUUAUCUGACUUUGGAAGACCUAUAACACCACUUUUGCCAUAUUUGUUGAAGAAAAUCACUAUGGCAAGCAUGGAUUCCAGAGAGGAAAUUAGACAUAUUUUGAUGUGAGGAGCAGUAUGUGGACAGAGGGAGGGAAGAACUAGUUGGCAGCCACCUUUGAGACUAGCUACCAUGUUAGGGUAACACUGCUGUCAUAAACUCCAGCAUUCAGGUGACAUAACACAAUAAUAUUUUAUUCCUACUUAUGUUUAUCUUCUCUCUCCUUCUAUUUUAUGGCUCUUUCACUAGAGCAUUGGAGUUCUCUGCUUUUAGCUGGAGGAUGGAGAAAGAGCAAAUAUAGGAGACACCUCUGCUUCUUAAUCACUUUGGCCCAGAAAUAACACAAAUCACGUCUGCCCCAUCCUAUUGUGGAAUACGGCUACACCAAGUUAUAUGGCCAAACCCAGACAAAAAGAGGGCUAGGAAGAGUAUUCCCUGGCUGAGUAGCAGGUACCCAAGGAAAGCUUUGUGGAUGGAAGGAAGAUUAUAAUUUCUGAUGAAUAGCUAGUUGUCUCUGUCACGCUUAUUUGCAAGAGCACAACUCCCAAUAGCUUCUUGACAAAAGUGGUUGGGAGAAACAUAUUUUGAUCAUUGUACAUAAAAAAAUAGACUUAGUCUGGCCUUCCAUUUGAUUAAUAGGUUGACUGGAUAGAGAAUUGUCUGUUAAAAUCAUUUUCUUUUACUUUUGAAGGUUUGCUUCACUGUGUGAUGCCAAUUUGAUUCUUGUUCUUUGAAUGUGAAUUGCUUUUCUCUCUGCAGAUUGGAAGAUCAUCCACUAAUCCCUGGGCUUUGGGAAACCAGUUUG